AUUUAAUUAAUGUUGGGAACAACUUUCAUAUACAAGUAGUAUACCAAAAAGUAUAGAACCUACAAAAAGAUAUGAUUCUCUACGAAAAAAUAACUAUUUUUUUUUAAUACAAAUCAGAACCUCAAAGAUGCACCAACAGAUAACUCAGGGUAAGAGGCUAGCGUCAAAUGUACAAAAUCAUUCUUCAUCCCAUUGCUUCCAACACGGUGCCUGGCAAUUGGCAUUGUCUAUCUUGUCCCGAACCAUCUCAAAUCUCCCACCACAAGUGCAUAGGUAGCUGGCGAUGCAAAAGGAGGCUGUCCAUGGCUUUGCCUGAGUACUUGCGUAUAACACCAACUAGUAUACGGGAUCCUUCUCUUUCUCAAGUUUUUAGCUUUCAGUAUUGGCCCCCUUGCUGCCGAUUGUGUGGAAAAACACACAUUUCUUGUCACCCUGGUUUGUUAUACCCCGUUCGUGUUUUGCAUAUGUCAUUGGUAUCAAGUUGGAUUUUUCUUGUGCUAUUCCUUCAGAUUGAUGGACAAUUUCAACCAAGAAAAAGUAUGUGUGGAAGUAAAUGUCUGUACUCACACAUUUUAUUAAGGAGCAUAUUUACAUUGUUUGUUCAAGUAGUACUGACUUAGACAACAUGAUAAAAAAUUAUGGUCAUAUAAUUCUUUUCUUGGUGAAUAUACUCAUUGGCUAAAGAUUUAUUUAUUUGAUCAAGCAUUGUUUAAAAAUUAUUAGGUUUUCUAAAAGUAAAAUCGUUAAAGCUUUGUUACCUUCUCAAAAAAAAAAAAACAAGAUCUUUGAAUGUUCAUCUUUUUUGGUUUAACAUAAAUUUAAAGCAGCUCUGUAUUUCUAUUUGACAUGGAGAUUGCACUUUGAAGGUGCGUUCUUUUUUAAGGGAGUUUCAUUUAUUGCUUUACUUUUGCUUAUCACUAUUUUGAGGGGGCUGGAAAGGUUAAGAUGAUGAGCAAGAGUUGACAUGUGGAGCAAUAGCUUUAUUUAUUCCUCAUCUAGACUGUUUUGCUGUCAGGACUCUACAAAA